UUUAACCCUUUCCCUUUCAUGCAUUUUAGACCUUUACUUAUCGAAAAUACAUUAUCGAAGUUUAAAUGAAUACAGCAUUCGCAUCAAUGGUCAUACACAUGUCAUGUUGGGCUCAAAUGAAAGAUAAUUGGUUAAAUAUUUCAAAAAAUUAAGUUUGAAGAUAAUUCGUCAUUUUUUGGUCACGUGGUAUAUUUCCAAAAGUCACGUGACUGUUGGACAAAAAGUGAAAAAAUGCGAAAUCCUUGGGCAAAAAGUCGUGCAGAGACAUAUUGGUGGGCUAAUAGGGUCAGGUUUUGGUGAAAACACAAUGCCUCGAGUCUGUUGAAGCCAUAUAAGUUAUCAUAGUGGUAUAAAUAGACGCAUAACGUGCUAUAGGCCUUGAAAUAUCGAUGUCCGUAACAUUCAAAAUAAUUGAUUUUAGACGCUCUUUUUGUCCGAUUUCAAACUUGGACCCUAGUUAUUUGUCUUAUUCGUUUUCAAUCAAUCAGCAACCA
rnacentral:lncRNA from 1 species